GAUUGGGUGUCUACCCAUGCUGUCCCUGAAGGGGUUAAUGGAGGCCUGCUGGACCAAUUACCCUGUUGGCUGAAGGCUGAGAGGAAAACCCUAAUUAGGGGAAGCUCACCUGUGUGGGAACAGGCAGGGCUUCUAUAAAGCCAGGAAGUUGCCCACAGCCAGGGGGCUGUAGGGAGGCAAUCUGCAGCCAUUUCCUGGGGUAAAGGGAGGGAUGUUUGGGGGCUGAAGUGGUAAACAGCCCCAGUUGCUCCCUGGGAAGAGGAGGAGGAGGAAGUAGAGCACUUGGCAAACCCCACAGAGGAGGAAGUGUUGGGGAGUAAGCAGCAAGCUUGGGGACUGAGCAGACUGGCUGCAUGUUGAAGGGUCCCUGGGUUAAACCCUGGAGUAGAGGGCGGGCCUGGGUUCCUCUCCCUGCCACUGGGGAAGUGGUACUGGUGGGGUAGUGAACUGGAAGCCUGUCUGAGUUGCUGUGGGAGUAACAGAGACUGAAGGACUCUACCUGGAGGGGAACACUGAGGGACCUGGCCAGAGGGCUGAGUCCUGAGGAGGAUGCUGGGGUUCCUGGAGUGCGUGAGGGAGAGGCAGCAGACCAGUGACAGAAGGAUGGCGUGACAGCAUUCAACCUGCGGAAGAGGGCUUUGACCUCAAAAGUUAAUCACCAGAGUGAUCAUGAGGCAGCAUCAGACAAGCGAAAAUCUUGCACAACGUGGCUGGUUGGAAUAUACCAAGAAUCAGCUGUGAACUACUCCUUGUCAAGCAGGAGUCCAAGGUCGCACUGUCUGUCCUCUGAAAGGUGAUGUUCACCCCCCCCACCGGAUUUGCAGUAAGAUCUUCGAUCUCACCUAUCACCUUGUGAGCAGCUAAGAUACCGUGGAGAUGAGUGAGGACUAAUGUCAGGAUGGUGGAUUCAUGGAAAGAGGGAGAUAGUUAUGGUUUCCAUACUAUUGUUUUCCAUACACUUACUAAAAGGCUGUUUGUAGUUUUCAUAGAUGUGCCCAAUUCAUUGUUACGCUGCAUCCUGUUUGCACAAGGUGUGAGAUAGAAACACAAGGACCAUCAGUACUGUGCCUUUCCAGCUGAUGGUGUCUCUGAUGUAAAGAUCCCUUGAAGCCCCAAAACAAGAGUGCAAGAGUAAGGCGUUCGGCUCAGCUG